UAAAGAUUUGUCAAAUAAAAUAUUCACCUUCCCAGAAGAAACCAACACAGCUCAUGUGAGGGUGACUACAUCAAGACAAGAUCUGAGAGCUGUAACCGUGUGUUUCAGGUCCUUUACUGACCUCAAUAGAGACCAUUCCUUGUUCUCUCUGGCUACACCCUCUGCUAUCAAUAACUUCCUGAUAUUCAAGAAAGCUGCAAAUGGCUUAUUUGAACUGUGGGCCAGGGGCAAGUCGAGUAAAGUUGAUGGGAUUGCCUACAAGUUGAACACAUGGCAUUCUAUUUGUUCCACGUGGGACUCUACCUCUGGACUCAUGCAGCUGUGGGUCGAUGGAGUCCCCUCAAGCAAAAAAUUUACCAGCUCUGGAUCCAACAUCAAUGGACCCAUUAUCAUUGUCUUAGGACUUGAUCCAUUUGUUCAUGUUCAUGGACAUGUGGUUCAUUGCGGCAUAAGAGCGUUUAUAUUUAGAGUAUGUUUUAUGGGCUACAUGUUUUCAAGAUUUUCAAGACCAGAUGUUUUACCUGUAAUCUGGAAGUGCUGAAACAAGUGUUCGAUGUAUUUUACACUAAACUUUUUUUUUCAAAUUUUCCCAGUGAACAAAUUUAAAUAUUUUUUACAGCAGCCAUUUGCCAUGAUCCUAGAGACUCCAGACAUUUCUGUACUACACUGUCUCCAAUAUAUGUAUAAUAUACUCUGGGGCUAGAAGAAAUUAUACAUUUGAAUACUAAAACACAUAAAUGAAAUACUCAAAGUUUAUUAGACCAUACAUGUUAAAGAUGUGUCAGUGAUAUCACCAAACUGUUUUUAGUCAGUGAUUACAGCUUGACUGAUGUCUAACUGUAGAUGAUUUUGCUUGAUACCAUACAGUUAGGCAUAUCAAAAAUAUGAAAAUAUAACAGAAUAGCUGUGCUGCCUGAGUGACACAUAUUGUAUUCUCUCAAGUGCGUUAUGAGUGAUUUGUACUUUGACUUGUGCAACCAACUCACACCUCUAGAUAUUAACUGAAUGAUGCUUUAUCAAA